UGCCAGCCGCCGCGGUAAUACGGAGGGUGCAAGCGUUGUUCGGAAUCUAUUGGGCGUAAAGCGCGUGUAGGCGGUUCGUUAAGUCUGAUGUGAAAGCCCGGGGCUCAACCCCGGAAGUGCAUUGGAAACUGGCGAACUUGAGUACGGGAGAGGAAAGUGGAAUUCCGAGUGUAGGGGUGAAAUCCGUAGAUAUUCGGAGGAACACCAGUGGCGAAGGCGACUGACUGGACUGGUGCUGACGCUGAGGUGCGAAAGUGUGGGGAGCAAACAGGAUUAGAUA
rnacentral:rRNA from 1 species